UUUUUCUGGGUCAGAUGAAAACAAGUAGUACUGAGGAUCCUCAGAAUAGGAAAUGCAAAUACUGCAUUCCAAUUAUUGGCAGGGACAUGAAGAAUAUCUGUUUCUAUAGGUGUAAGGAGAAGUUAGAGUCCAAAAUAAAACAGAAGUGACACUCUGGCUAAAGAUGCACACAAAGUCCACAACUGGUUAAGUUGAAAUCCAAAUGCCAAUUUACUAACGCGAGGAAAAAUGAGGGCAACUUACUAUGUUGUAGGGGAAAAUAUUAAGUAACAUGCAUGUGAAAUGUACCUUAUAACAGGUUUUGUAUUUUUCAAGGGAUAUAAUUAUGUGUGCAUGCAUAUUUGAGAAUUUUAUUAGGUUGUGUUUUAUUAGUGGAAAUAAAUCAGUGGAAUUAGAUAAACCUGACUCAUACAAUAAGAUGUUUCAAUCAACAAGAUCCUUGGGAUGCAGAGAAAGUGACUAUUUAGGUAAGAUAUUCUUGCAACCCCAAGAGAGGUAAACCAGACCACAGGUGGAAGUCCGGCAAGUAGGAGCCAUGAACUGCCUCAAGGGAGUGGGGAGCAGCUUUAAAACAGUAUGAGGAAGGGCUCAACUUGUCCACAAAAUGUUUUAGGUCUACCAGUUUGAGAACUGUAGGACACACACCUGCAUUUUGUUCCUCCCUCUGUUGUUGCCACUGGUGAAAAUAAACCAAGUGCUCUCGACCACACAUGCUUCACCCGUCUUUCUUAUCAGCAGUGCUACAUAGAAGGAAUCCAGGGCCAGGAGAGUUUUCAUUUUCUUAAUGGCUUUUGCAUACACUGGGUUUACAAAUACUUAUGGCAGUUCACUAACUUAAUCAAUGUCCCUGCUCAUGCCACCACCAAACAGUUGAAUUCAAAUGGAAGGAGAAAGAAUAGGUGGUCAACAGGUUCAGUAAUGAAAGAUGCCAUGUUGGGCAAGGACUAUAGUAAGGGACUAAAGGACUGGGGAAUGGAGUGAGGAGUUUAGAAUCAGGGAAAUAGUAGAUCAGCAGGUCAGAAAAGGGGAGUGCUAUGAGGUCCCAAGAUGCCACCAUCCCACCCCAGCUACCAUGCAUGGAUUUUUCUCCAUGAGCCAUCCCAGGUGAACUGUUUGGGGGUCUAGCUGACUGACCCAAAGGGCUAGAAGUGGCCAGAAGCAAUAGUUGCAAGAACCAAUGGUUAGAUCUGUGGUAGAAACACCAGCUCAGUAGCUAGUUCUAUCCCCUGAGAGUUUGUUUUAUGUAGGAUCUAACAAAACAGGCAAGCAAUAUAACCAAGAAGUAUUUAUUAAACAAUCUUCUGUGCUAAAUAAAGAAGGCUCUUGCCAGGCGCGGUGGCUCACACCUGUAAUCCCAGCACUUUGGGAGGCCGAGGUGGGUGGAUCACUUGAGGUCAGGAGUUCGGAACCAGUCUGGCCAACAUGGUGAAACUCCAUCUCUACCAAAAAAAUACAAAAGUUAGUUGGGCAUGGUGGCACACAUCUGUAGUGGCAGUUAUUCAAGAGGCUGAGGUGGGAGGAUCACUUGAGCUCAGGAGGUCGAGGCUGCAGUGAGCCAAGAUCACGCCACUGCACUCUAGCCUGGGUGACAGAGUGAGCCCCUAUCUCAACAAACAAACAAACAAAUAAAUAAAUAAGGCUCUUUUGGUAUCUUUAAUGCCUAGUGUAGUCCCUGGCGUAUUAGUAGGGCUCCAUAAAUACUCGAAUCUAUUUGAAAGAUUCGAAUGGAUUAUAGAAACAAGAUGAUAGAAAAUUAAAUGGCAGCAUUUUUUUUUUUUAACUUUUAAAUUCAGGUAUAGCAUGCACAUAGGCUUUCCAUGAACUUUUUACAAAAUGAGCACACCUAUACAACCACCACCGAGGUCAAGAACUGUUUUACCAUCACCCCAAAAGCAUCCCCUCAUGAAGAUAACCACUAUUACCACCAUCUCAUAGAUUAGUUUGUUUUUAAUUUGGUCUAAGUGGAAUCAUACAUUAUAUAUUUUUGUGUCUGGUAUCUUUCAGUCAACAUUGUUUUUGAGAUAUUUAUCUGUGUAUGGCUGUAAUUCACAGUAUUCCAUUGUUUAU
ensembl:lncRNA